UACGUAGGUGACCAGCGUUGUCCGGAUUUACUGGGCGUAAAGAGCGCGCAGGCGGUCGUUCAAGUCGAGUGUGAAAGCCCCCCGGCUCAACUGGGGAGGGUCACUCGAUACUGAUCGACUUGAAGGGCAGGAGAGGGAAGCGGAAUUCCCGGUGUAGUGGUGAAAUGCGUAGAUAUCGGGAGGAACACCAGUGGCGAAGGCGGCUUCCUGGCCUGUUCUUGACGCUGAGGCGCGAAAAGCUAGGGGAGCAAACGGG
rnacentral:rRNA from 1 species